UAACACCGGUUGAUCCUGCCGGAGGUCACUGCUAUCGGAGUCCGACUAAGCCAUGCGAGUCCAAGUGCUUCGGCACU
rnacentral:rRNA from 1 species